rnacentral:rRNA from 1 species
UACCAGCACCCCGAGUGGUCGGGACGAUUAUUGGGCCUAAAGCAUCCGUAGCCGGUUCUGCAAGUCUUCCGUUAAAUCCACCUGCUCAACAGAUGGGCUGCGGAGGAUACUACAGGGCUAGGAGGCGGGAGAGGCAAGCGGUACUCAGUGGGUAGGGGUAAAAUCCUCUGAUCCACUGAAGACCACCAGUGGCGAAGGCGGCUUGCCAGAACGCGCUCGACGGUGAGGGAUGAAGCUGGGGGAGCAAACCGG